CUCCGGUCCAGUCCAGAGCAAAGCCAGCUUUCGUGGCCUCCCUGCAAGAUCUUCUUUCACCACAGCGACAUCUUUUAUUUCAACCAUGAAAACAUUCUUCCAAGCCGUAUUCCUGUUGGCCGCACUGUCGGUCAACCUCCAGGGGUCCCACUCUGCAAUGCAACAGAGUAAUUAUGAGUCUCUUCUCAGUGUGGUCCGAAGAAACGCAGGCUAUCCCAGUGAAAAAUCUCUUGUAAAACGCUCGUAUUAUCACACCUAUGGUCCUGGUGACCGUCAUACUUAUGGCCCUGGUCACGCCUACGGACAUGGCCAUACAUAUGGCCGUGGAAAACGUCAUAACUAUGCAGAUGGUCAUACAUAUGGUGCAGGAGACCAUCAUACCUACGGAUAUGGUCACACCUAUGGCCCAGGAAGACAUACCUAUGGUCCCUAUGACCGUCACUCGUACGGCCCAGGAAGACAUACUUAUGGACCCUAUGACCGUCACACCUAUGGCCCAGGAAGACAUACCUAUGGACCCUAUGACCGUCACACCUAUGGCCCAGGAAGACAUACUUAUGGACCCUAUGACCGUCACACCUAUGGCCCAGGAAGACAUACCUAUGGACCCUAUGACCGUCACACCUAUGGCCCAGGAAGACAUACUUAUGGACCCCAUGACCGUCACACGUAUGGCCCAGGAAGACAUACUUAUGGACCCCAUGACCGUCACACGUAUGGCCCAGGAAGACAUACCUAUGGACCCCAUGACCGUCACACGUAUGGCCCAGGAAGACAUACCUAUGGACCCCAUGACCGUCACACCUAUGGCCCACAUCACAGACACACAUACAAGCCAGUCUUCAAAUGUGGAAACAUUGUGUUUUUGAAUUCAUACUGUUCGUCUGUGUGUCCGGCUAGCCAUGUCCACAUUUCUGGCAUUGGUGGCUGUCCAAGAGGAACUAUUUGCUGUGCAGCAUAAGCUUGCUCAACGAUUUCAUCCUCCAGAUAAAUGAAUAUAUAUAUAUAUCUGUAUAUAUACAUAUAUAUGCCUGUGUAAAUAUAUAUGAGUCUGUAUAUUAAAUCAUAUAUACACACACACACAACCUGAUGUAAUUGGUUUAUAUGUAUAAUUUAUACAGUCUAUGAAACACACUAAAACUUAAUAUAUAUGUAUGUAUAUGCAUGUGUAUAUAUAUAUGUGAGUGUGCAUAUGCAU
rnacentral:misc_RNA from 1 species